GUGCAGAUUACCAACUGGACCAUGUGCUUGCAACAGCAGUUGGUUGAAAGUUUUUAUUGCAAUCUACAGCCAUCCAUCGGUUUUGUUGAAUCCCAGCAGUGAAAAUUGUCAAGAGUGUGUCCUAAAAGGGCUUUGCUGCAACAUCAGUGAAAAGCCUGACACCCUCAUAAAGGAGUACUUGGAUAUUGAUAAUCCUGAUGCGAGGAGAGAAAUGGAGGAAAUGGUCUCCGGAAUUUGUCAUUCGACACGAU